rnacentral:misc_RNA from 1 species
AUUUAUUUGCUAAAUUAUUUUUUACUUAUUUUUCAGAGUUUGCACUUUGUGAAAUAAGUAGCACCAAUGAAAACACUGUUAAUUUGGAACGGGUAAAUAUUGCUAUAAUCGCUUAGAGUUAUUAUUGUUUAUUUUGUUAAUUUUUUUUCUCAAUUAUAAUACUUUCCAAGUUUCCAUGUUUGCAUAUCCAUCAGCUAGUAUUUGAAGCAUUCAAACUUGCUAGUUGGAGACAAAGUGGUAGAAAUUUGUAAUAUAUUAAUUUGAUCGUAUGGCUUUUAUCUUGGAGACUUGCUUGUUAGCUUUUAUAUUUGUUGCAAACACUGUGAUUGUUUAAUGAGGAUUGUACAAGGACAUUUAUUUUAUUGUAUUUGGAUUGUACAAGAACUUCUAUUUUAUUGGUUUAUAUGAGGACUUUAAUUUUAAUGUAUUAGGACUGUUAAGGACUUCUAUUACAUUAACUUUGUGAUGGACAUUACUAGACGGAGAAACAAUAAAUA